rnacentral:rRNA from 1 species
AAACUCAAAGGAAUUGACGGGGACCCGCACAAGCGGUGGAGCAUGUGGUUUAAUUCGAAGCAACGCGAAGAACCUUACCAAAUCUUGACAUCCUUUGACCGCUCUAGAGAUAGAGUCUUCCCCUUCGGGGGACAAAGUGACAGGUGGUGCAUGGUUGUCGUCAGCUCGUGUCGUGAGAUGUUGGGUUAAGUCCCGCAACGAGCGCAACCCUUAAGCUUAGUUGCCAUCAUUAAGUUGGGCACUCUAGGUUGACUGCCGGUGACAAACCGGAGGAAGGUGGGGAUGACGUCAAAUCAUCAUGCCCCUUAUGAUUUGGGCUACACACGUGCUACAAUGGAUAAUACAAAGGGCAGCGAAUCCGCGAGGCCAAGCAAAUCCCAUAAAAUUAUUCUCAGUUCGGAUUGUAGUCUGCAACUCGACUACAUGAAGCUGGAAUCGCUAGUAAUCGUAGAUCAGCAUGCUACGGUGAAUACGUUCCCGGGUCUUGUACACACCGCCAGUCA